UUUGAGGGAAUUAAAACACAUAAAUACUCUUGUGGGAAGGACCUGACCAUCAAAAACAUGUCCACCGGUACACCUCUUACGAGUCCCAUCCUGGUAACGUUAAAAGAUGGAAUAAAAGCUUCAUAGCCUUUUCCAAUAAGGCAUGAUGUUUUAAGAAAGAAUUUGCUGCUAAGUGACUUGUGAAUGCCAUUGAAAUUUUGUUGCGACCAAUACGCUUCAAACUGCCUUGUACUAUGUUUGACACCUGGUUUUUAUAUAAAAAUCUGCCAAAGCAUAUUGGAUGCAAAUUAAGAUCUUGUGUUAUCUCUCCUGUACUAGACCUAGCAACAUGAAUAAUAAACGGUGAAGCAUCCAAUGCA